UUGGAUAUGUAGGAUAUC
rnacentral:snRNA from 1 species